UAGACAAUUUGUACUAUUUUAUUAUUUUUCAAUUAAAAUAAAAGUCAAGUGACAUUUUUUCUGGUUAAAAAGUAAUUUUUUCAAAUAACCCUAAUUAACCCAUAAUAAAUACACUAAUUGACCCACAGUAAAAUCACUAUUUUUUACAAAGAUUUGUUGUGUAAUAAAGAAACCAUAAUUGAAGCAUCAUCUUCAUCGUUUUAUUAUGGUUCCAUUCAUUCAUCAUCUCUCAUCCAUCAGCUUCAUCGUUUUCUUCUAGUACACUCAUUCAUCACUUCUCACCCGUCAUAGGGUUCGUGUUCCAGUUUCGUCUUCAACUCUUUCUCUUUGUUCUAGUUUCAUGAAAAUGACAGUAUCCUCAAACUUAAGCAUGCUUUCAGAUGUGCUCAAAGGAGAUUGAAGAGAUGAAGAAAAGUGUUGAAAGCAUAAGGAAGAAGAUGAAGUUAGUCAAUGUUCUAGUUCUAUGUUGGUUUUAUUUAUCCCAUGUUUUCAACAAUGGAAGUUUAUGUGUAUUGUAAUUUGAAUUAUGAUGAAUGAAAAAAGAAGUUUAUUUUCUGGUUCAGUUUUUUAUGGUUAAGGAUUUUGGUUGUUUUCAAACUAGUUUCAAAUUGUUGUAAAGGCCUAUAAAGUUGGGAAUUAUGCAGGUUUCGUCGUAC
rnacentral:lncRNA from 1 species